GCAUAUCAAUAAGCGGAGGAAAAGAAACUAACUAGGAUUCCCUUAGUAACGGCGAGUGAACCGGGAUGAGCUCAAAUUUGAAAUCUGGCGUCUUUCAGGCGUCCGAGUUGUAAUCUAUAGAGGCGUUUUCCGCGCCGGACCGCGUCCAAGUCUCUUGGAAUAGAGUAUCAAAGAGGGUGACAAUCCCGUACUUGACGCGACAACCGGUGCUCUGUGAUACGUUCUCAAUGAGUCGAGUUGUUUGGGAAUGCAGCUCUAAAUGGGUGGUAAAUUCCAUCUAAGGCUAAAUAUUGGCGAGAGACCGAUAGCGAACAAGUACCGUGAGGGAAAGAUGAAAAGCACUUUGGAAAGAGAGUUAAACAGCACGUGAAAUUGUUAAAAGGGAAACGAUUGAAGUCAGUCGUGUGGGAAGUAUUCAGCCGUCUCUGGCGGUGUAUUUGCUUCUCACGGGUCAACAUCAGUUUGAUCCGGUAGAAAAAGGCGGGAAGAAGGUGGCACCCUCGGGUGUGUUAUAGCUUCCUGUCAUAUGUGCCGGACCAGACUGAGGAACGCAGCUUGCAGCAAUGCCGGGGUUCGCCCACGUACAAGCUUAGGAUGUUGACAUAAUGGCUUUAAACGACCCGUCUG
rnacentral:rRNA from 1 species